rnacentral:rRNA from 1 species
AUUGAACGCUAGCGGGAUGCUUUACACAUGCAAGUCGAACGGCAGCACGGACUUCGGUCUGGCGGCGAGUGGCGAACGGGUGAGUAAUGUAUCGGAACGUGCCCAGUAGCGGGGGAUAACUACGCGAAAGCGUAGCUAAUACCGCAUACGCCCUACGGGGGAAAGCAGGGGAUCGUAAGACCUUGCGCUAUCAGAUGGGCCGAUAUCGGAUUAGCUAGUUGGUGGGGUAACGGCUCACCAAGGCGACGAUCCGUAGCUGGUUUGAGAGGACGACCAGCCACACUGGGACUGAGACACGGCCCAGACUCCUACGGGAGGCAGCAGUGGGGAAUUUUGGACAAUGGGGGAAAGCCUGAUCCAGCCAUCCCGCGUGUGUGAUGAAGGCCUUCGGGUUGUAAAGCACUUUUGGCAGGAAAGAAACGCCGCGGGCUAAUACCCCGUGGAACUGACGGUACCUGCAGAAUAAGCACCGGCUAACUACGUG